rnacentral:tRNA from 1 species
AAUAAGAUGGCUGAGUAGAUAGGCGGUAAAUUGUAAAUUUAUUAACAAGUAAAACUUUCUUAUUA